CCUACGGGCGGCAGCAGUGGGGAAUAUUGCACAAUGGGGGAAACCCUGAUGCAGCGACGCCGCGUGAGUGAAGAAGUAAUUCGUUAUGUAAAGCUCUAUCAGCAGGGAAGAAAAUGACGGUACCUGAGUAAGAAGCCCCGGCUAACUACGGGCCAGCAGCCGCGGUAAUACGUAGGGGGCAAGCGUUAUCCGGAUUUACUGGGUGGAAAGGGAGCGUAGACGGCAGUGCAAGUCUGGAGUGAAAGGCGGGGGCUCAACCCCCGGACUGCUCUGGAAACUGUACGGCUGGAGUGCAGGAGAGGUAAGUGGAAUUCCUAGUGUAGCGGUGAAAUGCGUAGAUAUUAGGAGGAACACCAGUGGCGAAGGCGGCUUACUGGACUGUAACUGACGUUGCGGCUCGAAAGCGUGGGGAGCAAACAGUAUUAGAUACCCCAGUAGUC
rnacentral:rRNA from 1 species